rnacentral:rRNA from 1 species
CAGUCGCCACGGUAAUACGAAGGGGGCUAGCGUUGCUCGGAAUGACUGGGCGUAAAGGGCGCGUAGGCGGCGAUCAAAGUCAGGCGUGAAAUUCCUGGGCUCAACCUGGGGGCUGCACUUGAUACUUGGUUGCUUGAGUGGGGAAGAGGGUCGUGGAAUUCCCAGUGUAGAGGUGAAAUUCGUAGAUAUUGGGAGGAACAUCAGUGGCGAAGGCGGCCAUCUGGGACAACACUGACGCUGAGGCACGAAAGCGUGGGGAGCAAACAGGAUUAGAUACCCGAGUAGUCCCUGUCUCUUAUAC